rnacentral:rRNA from 1 species
UGGGGAAUAUUGGACAAUGGGCGCAAGCCUGAUCCAGCCAUGCCGCGUGGGUGAUGAAGGCCCUAGGGUUGUAAAGCCCUUUCACCUGUGAAGAUAAUGACGGUAGCAGGAGAAGAAGCCCCGGCUAACUCCGUGCCAGCAGCCGCGGUAAGACGGAGGGGGCUAGCGUUGUUCGGAAUGACUGGGCGUAAAGGGCGCGUAGGCGGUUUUUUAAGUGAGGCGUGAAAGCCCUGGGCUUAACCCAGGAGGUGCGUUUCAUACUGGAAAACUUGAGUACGAGAGAGGAAAGUGGAAUUCCUAGUGUAGAGGUGAAAUUCGUAGAUAUUAGGAAGAACACCAGUGGCGAAGGCGGCUUUCUGGCUCGUAACUGACGCUGAGGCGCGAAAGCGUGGGGAGCAAA